GGUGGCUCAGUGGUAGAGUGUUUGCCUUGCAUGCAUGAGUCCCUGGGUUCAAUUCCUCAGUACCA
rnacentral:tRNA from 1 species